rnacentral:rRNA from 1 species
CCCUUAGAUGUUCUGGGCCGCACGCGCGCUACACUGAUGCAUUCAACAAGUUCUACCUUGGCCGAGAGGCCUGGGAAAUCUUUCAAAUAUGUAUCGUGAUAGGGAUAGAUUAUUGCAAUUAUUAAUCUUGAACGAGGAAUUCCUAGUAAAUGCAGAUCAUCAUUCUGCGUUGAUUACGUCCCUGCCCUUUGUACACACCGCCCGUCGCGCCUACCGAUUGAAUGAUCCGGUGAAGCCUCGGGAUUGUGCCCAGAGAACUUUAUUGUGAUUUGGGUGUGAGAACUUGUCUAAACCUUAUCAUUUAGAGGAAGGUGAAGUCGUAACA